rnacentral:misc_RNA from 1 species
ACAUUCCCUCCAAAAUUGAAGAAUAUGAAGUUUUCAUUUUUUCUUUAUGCAUGUAAUAAGUAUUGCGAGUUUGAUCCAAGCAUGUUCAAUUCAUAAGGAUGUUUCGCACUUAUUACUUGCUUUCAUGAAACUAGAUUACAUUUACAUCAGAGCGUUUUUGCAUUUUGGGUUUGCGUUUCAUUGUUUCCACAUAAUUUCAGAUGUUAAUUAUUGGAUAGUUGAUUCAUUAGAAAAUAUUGGUGUACCUUCCAUAUGUCCUUUCGUUAGCUAUCUUUGGAUCUCAGUGACUUGUUUAUUA